rnacentral:rRNA from 1 species
GUCGGACGCUUUUGGGGUUUCGGCCUCAAGGGAGUGGCGGACGGGUGAGUAGCGCGUGGGAACCUGCCUUGGAGUGGGGGAUAACCGAGGGAAACUUCGGCUAAUACCGCAUGCGCCCCGGUGCUAAGCCGGGGGAAAGAUUGAUCGCUCUAAGAGGGGCCCGCGUCGGAUUAGGUAGUUGGUGGGGUAACGGCCUACCAAGCCUUUGAUCCGUAGCUGGUCUGAGAGGAUGAUCAGCCACACUGGGACUGAGACACGGCCCAGACUCCUACGGGAGGCAGCAGUGGGGAAUAUUGGACAAUGGGCGCAAGCCUGAUCCAGCAAUGCCGCGUGAGUGAUGAAGGCCUUAGGGUUGUAAAGCUCUUUCGGCGGGGACGAUGAUGACGGUACCCGCAGAAGAAGCCCCGGCUAACUUCGUGCCAGCAGCCGCGGUAAUACGAAGGGGGCGAGCGUUGUUCGGAUUUACUGGGCGUAAAGGGCGCGUAGGCGGCGGACCUUGUCGAGUGUGAAAGCCCCGGGCUCAACCUGGGAAUUGCGCUCGAAACGGGUUUGCUGGAGUUCGGGAGAGGAGCGUGGAAUUCCCAGUGUAGAGGUGAAAUUCGUAGAUAUUGGGAAGAACACCGGUGGCGAAGGCGGCGCUCUGGACCGAGACUGACGCUGAGGCGCG